rnacentral:rRNA from 1 species
GAUGAACGCUGGCGGCGUGCUUAACACAUGCAAGUCGAGCGAGUGAGUUCUUCGGAACGAUCUAGCGGCGGACGGGUGAGUAACACGUGGGCAACCUGCCUCAUAGAGGGGAAUAGCCUCCCGAAAGGGAGAUUAAUACCGCAUAAAAUUAUCGAGUGGCAUCACAUGAUAAUCAAAGGAGUAAUCCGCUAUGAGAUGGGCCCGCGGCGCAUUAGCUAGUUGGUGAGGUAACGGCUCACCAAGGCGACGAUGCGUAGCCGACCUGAGAGGGUGACCGGCGACAUUGGGACGGAGACACGGCCCAGACUCCUACGGGAGGCAGCAGUGGGGAAUAUUGCACAAUGGGGGAAACCCGGAUGCAGCAACGCCGCGUGAGUGAUGAAGGUCUUCGGAUUGUAAAGCUCUGUCUUUGGGGACGAUAAUGACGGUACCCAAGGAGGAAGCCACGGCUAACUACGUGCCAGCCGCCGCCGUAA